rnacentral:rRNA from 1 species
AUUGAACGCUGGCGGCAUGCUUUACACAUGCAAGUCGAGCGGCAGCGCGGGGGCAACCCUGGCGGCGAGCGGCGAACGGGUGAGUAAUGCAUCGGAACGUAUCCUCGAGUGGGGGAUAACCCAGCGAAAGUUGGGCUAAUGCCGCAUGAGCUCUGAGGAGGAAAGCGGGGGACCUGCGAGGGCCUCGCGCUGGAGGAGCGGCCGAUGUCCGAUUAGCUAGUUGGUGGGGUAAAGGCUUACCAAGGCGACGAUCGGUAGCUGGUCUGAGAGGAUGAUCAGCCACACUGGGACUGAGACACGGCCCAGACUCCUACGGGAGGCAGCAGUGGGGAAUUUUGGACAAUGGGGGCAACCCUGAUCCAGCCAUGCCGCGUGAGUGAAGAAGGCCUUCGGGUUGUAAAGCUCUUUCGGACGGAACGAAAUGGGCGGGACUAAUACUCCUGUCUGAUGACGGUACCGUAAGAAGAAGCACCGGCUAACUACGUG